rnacentral:rRNA from 1 species
UAAGGGGCUUGCUCCUUAUUUUAGUGGCGCACGGGUGAGCUACGCGUGGAUAAUCUACCUUGGAAUCUGGCGAUAACAUCUCGAAAGGGGUGCUAAUACCGGAUAAGACCACGGGCUCUAUGGAGUCUGCAGGUAAAAGGGGGCCUCUGUAUAUGCUUCUGUUUCAAGAUGAGUCCGCGUACCAUUAGCUAGUUGGCAGGGUAAUGGCCUACCAAGGCGACGAUGGUUAGCUGGCCUGAGAGGAUGAUCAGCCACACUGGAACUGAAACACGGUCCAUACUCCUACGGGAGGCAGCAGUGGGGAAUUUUGCGCAAUGGGGGAAACCCUGACGCAGCAACGCCGCGUGAGUGAUGAAGGCCUUCGGGUCGUAAAGCUCUGUCAGAGGGAAAGAAGUGUAUGGCGGUUAAUACCCGUUGUACUUGACGGUACCCUCAAAGGAAGCACCGGCUAACUCCGUGCCAGCCGCCG